UACGUAGGGUGCGAGCGUUAAUCGGAAUUACUGGGCGUAAAGCGUGCGCAGGCGGUUUUGUAAGUCUGUCGUGAAAGCCCCGGGCUUAACCUGGGAAUUGCGAUGGAGACUGCAAGGCUUGAAUCUGGCAGAGGGGGGUAGAAUUCCACGUGUAGCAGGUGAAAUGCGUAGAGAUGUGGAGGAACACCGAUGGCGAAGGCAGCCCCCUGGGUCAAGAUUGACGCUCAUGCACGAAAGCGUGGGGAGCAAACAGG
rnacentral:rRNA from 1 species